rnacentral:rRNA from 1 species
CACGUAGGGGGCGAGCGUUGUCCGGAUUUAUUGGGCGUAAAGAGCGUGUAGGCGGCCAGACAGGUCCGUUGUGAAAACUGGAGGCUCAACCUCCAGACGUCGAUGGAAACCGUCUGGCUAGAGUCCGGAAGAGGAGAGUGGAAUUCCUGGUGUAGCGGUGAAAUGCGCAGAUAUCAGGAAGAACACCCGUGGCGAAAGCGGCUCUCUGGGACGGUACUGACGCUGAGACGCGAAAGCGUGGGGAGCGAACAGG